rnacentral:rRNA from 1 species
AGCAGUCGCCGCGGGAAUACGGAGGGUGCAAGCGUUAAUCGGAAUUACUGGGCGUAAAGCGCACGCAGGCGGUCUGACAAGUCAGAUGUGAAAUCCCCGGGCUUAACCUGGGAACUGCAUUUGAAACUGUCAGGCUGGAGUCUUGUAGAGGGGGGUAGAAUUCCAGGUGUAGCGGUGAAAUGCGUAGAGAUCUGGAGGAAUACCGGUGGCGAAGGCGGCCCCCUGGACAAAGACUGACGCUCAGGUGCGAAAGCGUGGGGAGCAAACAGGAUUAGAUACCCCGGUAGUCCCUGUCUCUUAUAA